rnacentral:rRNA from 1 species
UACGUAGGGCGCAAGCGUUGUCCGGAAUUAUUGGGCGUAAAGGGUGCGUAGGCGGCGCGGUAAGUCGGGUGUGAAAUUUCGAGGCUUAACUUCGAAACUGCAUUCGAUACUGCCGUGCUUGAGGACUGGAGAGGAGACUGGAAUUUACGGUGUAGCGGUGAAAUGCGUAGAUAUCGUAAGGAAGACCAGUGGCGAAGGCGGGUCUCUGGACAGUUCCUGACGCUGAGGCACGAAGGCCAGGGGAGCAAACGGG